GCCUGGAUGGCUCAGUCGGUAGAGGCAUCAGACUUUUAAUCUGAGGUCAGGGUUCAAGUCCCUAUUCGGGCG
rnacentral:tRNA from 1 species